rnacentral:snoRNA from 1 species
UUUGGCAGAAUGAUGAUCUUUUUUUAAAAAAAGCCGUUUACCCAACUGAGGGCUUCCUUGAAGUAAUUUGAAAUCUGAUGUGCCAUG